GUCCACGCCGUAAACGAUGUGUGCUUGUCGCUGGGGGGUUCACCCUUCGGUGACGCAGCUAACGCGUUAAGCACACCGCCUGGGAAGUACGGCCGCAAGGUUAAAACUCAAAGGAAUUGACGGGGACCCGCACAAGCGGUGGAGUAUGUGGUUUAAUUCGUCGCAACGCGAAGAACCUUACCAGGCCUUGACAUGCCCUCUAUGGGGCUCAGAGAUGAGCUCCUUCACUUCGGGUGGGAGGGACACAGGUGCUGCAUGGCUGUCGU
rnacentral:rRNA from 1 species